rnacentral:rRNA from 1 species
UCUCUAUGCGGUGUCAGCCGCGCGGUAAUACAGAGGGUGCAAGCGUUAAUCGGAAUUACUGGGCGUAAAGCGCGCGUAGGUGGUUCGUUAAGUUGGAUUGUGAAAGCCCCGGGCUCAACCUGGGAACUGCAUUCAAAACUGUCGAGCUAGAGUAUGGUAGAGGGUGGUGGGAAUUUUCCUGUGUAGCGGUGAAAUGCGUAGAUAUAGGAAGGAACACCAGUGGCAAGGCGACCACCUGGGACUGAUACUGACACUGAGGUGCGAAAGCGUGGGGGAGCAAACAGGAUUAGAUACCCCUGGUAGUCCACGCCGUAAACGAUGUCAACUAGCCGUUGGGGAGCCUUUGAGCUCUUAGUGGCGCAGCUAACGCAUUAAGUUGACCCGCCU